CCUUGUAGCGGCUCGGGAUGAAGCAGCCACGAGCUUCGUCCUCCUCCGUCUUCAGGCUAAUUACUAAAUCAAUCUAAGGAUGGUUCAUGUAGAAGUGGAGGUGUACCAACGGCAGUUUGAAGCAGAUUAGGAGGCCGCGGCCAUCUUUGGCGGCGAGGCUGUCCAGUGAAGGAAAUGGGAGUGAAAGCAUCCAGUUGCGGUGGUCUGCAGCUCUGGUCGCCUCCAGCAACACCACAUAAUCAAAGUUCCAAAUAGUAGUGUUGGACUGCUACCUCCAGCCAACCAUAACAUAAUCAGUGGAUGUGUUUCUUGUGUAG